UUGAUGCACCGCGUGAUCGGGCCAUAAAGUGCUGCAGGCGCCCUCAUGGUCAGGAAAGUCCGGACACCGCAGCGAAAUGCCGAAAUGCAUUUUCGCUGGAGCGAUAGCGGCUAACGGCCGUCAUAGUUUGUAACAAUACGAACGAACGGGACAGUGUCACAGAGACCAUACCGCGGACGUCAUCAGUUCCGGUUAAAAGCCGGAAACGAUGAUUGCGCAAGGGUGAAAAGAGUGAGGUAAGAGCUCACACUAUGCGCUGGCAACAACGCAUAACGAAAAACUCCUAUCCGGUGCAAGGAAUCGUGCGGCGAUCGCGCCGCGCGAAUGCCGCAAGAACCGCCCGAGCAAUCGGCGGUCCAGACAGAUGAUCACUCCCCUUAUGAUCAGGGGAUACAGAAUCCGGCUUACAGGCGCGUCAAAGAA
rnacentral:RNase_P_RNA from 1 species